rnacentral:tRNA from 1 species
GAGUCUGUAGCUCAGCUUGGAUAGAGCGAUAGGAUUAAAAGCUAUAGGUCGAGGGUUCAAAUCCCUCCAGACUCG